rnacentral:rRNA from 1 species
UACGUAGGGUGCAAGCGUUAAUCGGAAUUACUGGGCGUAAAGCGUGCGUAGACGGUCAUGUAAGUCGGUGUGAAUCCCGGCUCAACCUGGGAAUUGCAUCUGUGACUGUAUAGCUAGAGUACGGUAGAGGGGAUGAAUUCCGCGUGUAGCAGUGAAUGCGUAGAUAUGCGAGGACACCGAUGGCGAAGGCAACUCCCUGGACAUCGACUGACGCUCCAUGCACGAAAGCGUGGGAGCAACAGG